CAAUGCCUUUCACCGGCGACAAAAUAUUGCGUCAUCAGCAAGAUGGCGGACGAGCGUCGUCUACUCCUUCGUUGCUGAUACUUGAUGAUUAAUGGACUUUUAUUUCUCUCAGGAAAAGCAUUUGUAACGAGGUCGGGAUGUUUCGGCGCUCGAGAUUCAGCGUUCGUCCUAAUGUGGGCGGACCUGGAAGGACGGGAGCCGCACCGCAGGAAGCCACUCCAGGGGGUAAGGAGGCCAGCCAGGCACCCAAAGCCAUCAGCGAGGGUGCGCCUUUAUCCACAGUGGAUGACAGCAAGCCUGGUGACACUCCUGCGGCUGCACCUACUGCCUUAGGCGAUGGAAAUGAGCCAAGUGGGGAAGCCUCGUCAGCUGCCGUCCAGAGGAGGAAGCGCUUCUCUGUCAAGCCCAGGGUGGCCCCGGGUCGACCCUCCAUCGUCCCUCGAGUGCCCAAGUCCCCCGCCAAGUUGGUCCCUGAGAGUCCGGCGAAGGUCUCAGAACUUGAGUCGACAACAUCAAAUGAAGUUAAAAGUCCAGCAGCCACACCCCAGGCCCCAUCUUCCCCGAUGCCCACGGCAGACAGCAAGCUACCUCACGUGCAACCCACCUUUGCCCCGCCUGAGGGGUGUGCUGACGCCCUAAAAGAAGCCCCCCCGCUGCCAGACCUUGGCAAACAGACAGAGAAGAGCCCUAACAGUUCCAUAAAGGUUCCUCACAGACCGCUGGAUAAAGUUUCUCUGCCAGACAGAGAGGCUGCUGAACUGUCAGAGAAGGCCAAGACUCUUCUGUCGUCCAAGGGCAAGAAGUCCAUUGCCAGAUUCUCCCUGAGCCGACUUUUAAACGACCCCUCGGAUAUUCAGAGGCUGGAAAAUGCUGAGAAGCUACGGGAUCUGCUCAGACAGGAGAUGCGGAAAGAAAAAGGUAUCAAGAAGCGGAAGAAGCCCAUAAAGGAAUUUAGUGUGGAUCCUACCAAAAUGACUAUGAGGGACCUUAUCCGGUACUUACCGCUGUCCAACCCCAUGUCAUCCAGUUUAGAGGACGACACUGAGCAAAAUGAGACCGUGACUCCGUUUACUCCAAGAAUGGAAAUACUGCCAGAGAGAGCGCAGGAACCGGAAGCAGAAGUUGUCCCCGCGGUGGUGGACCAAACGGAGGAGGAAGAGGAGGACGUUGAGGGGACGGGCCAGGGGGACGAGGACGACGACGCACUGAUGGUUCCGCAGGUCAAAGUUGCAGAAGAUGGAACCCUGAUCCUGGACGAGGAGAGUUUGACUGUGGAGGUCCAGAGAGCCAAAGGACCCAACCCGGCAGAGGACAGAGACCCCAUCUUUGAACGCGGCUCCACCACCACAUACUCCAGUUUCAGGGCCUCCACCUACUGCAAGCCUUGGUCCAGCGAAGAGACAGACAUGUUCUUCCUGGCUAUCAGCAUGGUGGGGACAGACUUCUCCAUGAUCUGUCAGCUCUUUCACAACAGAACGCGGUCGGAGAUAAGGAACAAGUUUAAGAAAGAGGAGAAACAGAAUUCCUGGAGAGUCGACAAAGCCUUUCGAGAGAGACGCAAACUGGACAUUGAGUAUUUUUCCAAGCUGCUAGAGAAGAUACUGGAAGUGCAGCAAAGCCGGAAGAAACUCAAGUCACUCGUGGUGAAGAACCCACCCAAGAAGAGCCAGGGGAAGUCAAAAGGCAGAAAGAGGAAGAAAGCUGCUGGCAAGCUCAGCGCCAGCGAGGAGGAAGACGAGGUGGAGGAGGACAGCCUCUUAUGCUCGGAGGCGGAGGACGGAGAGAAAGAGAACGAAGGAGGAACCCUGUCCUCUAAAGUCAAGAAGAAACUGAAAAGUAAGGUGGACGCCUCUGCUGCAAAGCCGGCAAAGAAGAAAAGUAAAACGAGUGAAAAGAGUAGCAAAGAAGGUGAAGAUGAGGCCUGCGUGCCCGAAGACACGGAAGCAGCCCUUCCUGAAGAUCAUCCUGACUCGGGAGUGUGUGAAAGUGCAGAGACGGAAAAAGCAUCCAACGGAGCCACGAUCAAACCCGCUAAGCUCCCGCGAGGUAGCGCGGCUAAAUCCGUGGGCCGAAAGUGCAGUAAAAAGCUCCCUCCCUCUCCUACCACGGCAGCCGAAGAUGGAGACGGGGAAUCCGCUAAACAGGACGAGAGUGUGAAGGAUGACACCUUGAAAGACCAGGUCAACAAAGAGGCAUUACCUUCAAGAGAAGCCAGCGAUGAUGAUGUUGAUGACUCCUGUAGCGAUGAAGACUCUGGAGAUGAAGAUUACGCCGUUAAACCUGCGAAACCCACCAGAUCCGGGAGGAUCCCCAAACCUACUGCACUCUUAAGUUACCCUGCGCCCUCCACUCGGACCGCCCCCAAGAGGGACAGAACAACCAAGGCACCGCCUGCUGCCCCGUCGUCGAAAAAGCCCAAACUUGUUAUGCUGAGAGCGACUCAAUCCGAAUCAAGUGCGGAGGAGGAUGGGCAGGAGUUGGAGGAUGAAGAAAUGAAGGAGCUGUGGUGUGACGGCAGCACUCAGGCGUUUGUGCCCGCCAGCCUGCGCUCCCCCCACGCCGUCAUAUGCCAGGUCGAGGAAGCAGUAGAGGAGCUUGAUAUCUUGGCGGAUAUGUCUGUCUUGGACAUGUCCCAAGAUGAACUGUGCCUCAACUCGUCGUGCGAACGGGCCCAAUUUGAGACCGGAUCAAGAGAAACUUCUGCGCAUCAGCUGGACCUUCUGGUCGAUGUCAUAGACUUACUUUCUUCUGAGCACGCUGGAGUGUCAGAGGUGGAGAGCUACAAUGAGGCUGCUCAAACCCUGCUGGCUAUCGGCAAUGUCUCUCAUCCCUCGCAUUCAGACACCAUGCAAGGUCAAAUCACAGGCGUACCGUCGGACAGUGGAAAUGAAACAAGUAGACGUUUGGAAGAGGAAAUUGUUGCGGAGUUCAUUGAAGAAAACACCUUCACACCAAUUAUGUCUGUACCUUCAGACCAGGAAGUCACGGAUGCAUUUGAAACUGCACCUGUUGGGCCAACAAACACAGAGUCCUCACCUCACAUUGGUGAGGAGACAUGCUGUGAACAGAGACACGUUUCAGAUCAUGACUUAACCCGACCGUUGCAAUCAAACACACGGACCAGAAUAGCUCGCUCACCCAAGGUUAAACCAAAACCUAACUUGGCCAAGGCCUCAAGAGCUGCACAUUCCAGAACUCAACCAGAAACAUCUUCACAAGGGUCAACCAUGGAGAGCGAUAGUGUUGCUCCUGACCUGUCGAAAGACUUCUCUGAAGAACCGUCCUCAAAGAUAGCAAAAUGUAGUCAAUCUUCUGAAAAACAGACUUUUGAAAUGGAUGCCAAGUCUACAAAUGCUGAAACAAGUGAAAGCACAGCAUUUGAUGCUGCAGUCACAGAAACACUAGCUCAAGAGGCAGGUAGCGAUUAUGUUGCCAUACCAGUUGUACAUGAAGAUCAGAACUCUAGCGAACCCCCGUCAUCUCGACCCACCAGGAUCACAACAAGUAAGGUAGAACCACAGCCAACUUGUACUUUCUCUCCUAAGAAAAUCAGUCCAAGUGCCAAUUCUUCUUCAUCGGAGACAACAACCAUGAGUUUGAGCUCUAAUCUGGUAGAGGAAGUAGCUUCUAGUGAGAUAGCAAAAUGUAGUCAAUCUUCUAAAAAACAGACUUUUGAAAUGGAUGCCAAGUGUACAAAUGCUGAAACAAGUGAAAGUGCAGCAUCUGAUGCUGCAGUCACAGAAACACUAGCUCAAGAGUCAGAUAGUGAUUAUGUUGCCAUACCAGUUGUACAUGAAGAUCAGAACUCUAGCGAACACCCGUCAACUCGACCCACCAGGAUCACAACAAGUAAGGUAGAACCACAGCCAACUUGUACUUUCUCUCCUAAGAAAAUCAGUCCAAGUGCCAAUUCUUCUUCAUCGGAGACAACAACCAUGAGUUUGAGCUCUAAUCUUGUAGAGGAAGUAGCUUCUAGUGAGAUAGCAAAAUGUAGUCAAUCUUCUAAAAAACAGACUUUUGAAAUGGAUGCCAAGUGUACAAAUGCUGAAACAAGUGAAAGUGCAGCAUCUGAUGCUGCAGUCACAGAAACACUAGCUCAAGAGUCAGAUAGCGAUUAUGUUGCCAUACCAGUUGUACAUGAAGAUCAGAACUCUAGUGAACACCUGUCAUCUCGACCCACCAGGAUCACAACAAGUAAGGUAGAACCACAGCCAACUUGUACUUUUUCUCCUAAGAAAAUCAGUCCAAGUGCCAAUUCUUCUUCAUCUGAGACAACAACCAUGAGUUUGAGCUCUAAUCUUGUAGAGGAACUGGCUUCUAGUGUAAUGAAGAAUACAUGUACAGGACUUGCUAAUCAACUCAGUAGUGAAUCAAAACCCACGGAUGCUGAAAAGAAAAAGGUUGAAUGUAGUCCAAAUGAAGCGGCAGCAUUUGAUGAUGCAGUCACAGAACCACUAACUCAAGAGUCAAACAUGCAUUUGAUCCAAAAAGGUGAAGAUAAUGGCGCCAUGAUAGAGGUACAUGAAGGUCUGGACUCUAGAGAACUCCAGUCAUCUCCACCCUUUAAGAGGACUCAAUUCCACCGAGUCAAACCAAAACCAAACCUUUCACAGAUAUCAAAAAGUGCACGUUCUAAACCUCAAACCACAAAAGAGACUAGUGAUUCUUCAAAGCUGGAAUCAACUUGGACGACAACAAGUAUGGUAAAACCGCAGCCAACUUGUACCUUCUCUCCUACGAAAACAAGUCCAAGUGCCAAUUCUGCUUCAUCUGUGACAACAACCAUGGACGUCGGCCCUAAUCUGGUACCUCCAGAAGAACUCACUUCUGGUGAGAUAGUGACAAGUACUGAACAUUAUGAACAGCUCAAUAUUGAAACAAAAUCCACAGAUGCUGAACAGAUUGAAUUUGGUUCAAAUGAAGAGGCAGCAGCUGAUGAUGCAGUCACAGAACCACUAGUUCAAGAGUCUAGCAUGCCUUUGAUCCAAAAAGGCGGAUUUAAUGACAACAUGCCAGAGGCACAUGAAGGUCAGGACUCUAGCGAACUCCAGUCAUCUCCACCCUUUAAGAGGAAUCGAUUACGCAUAGUCAAACCAAAACCAAACCUUUCACAGAUAUCAAAAAGUGCACGUUCUAAACCUCAAACCACAAGCGAGACUAGUGAUUCUUCAAAGCUGGAAUCAACUUGGACGACAACAAGUAUGGUAAAACCACAGCCAACUUGUACCUUCUCUGCUACAAAAACAAGUCCAAGUGCCAAUUCUACUUCAUCUGUGACAACAACCAUGGACGUCAGCUCUAAUCUGGUACCUACAGAAGAACUGGCUUCUGGUGAGAUAGUGAAAAGUACUGGAAAUGAUGAACAGCUCAAUAUUGAAACAAAAUCCACAGAUGCUGAACAGAUUGAAUUUGGUUCAAAUAAAGAGGCAGCAGCUGAUGAUGCAGCCACAGAACCACCAGCUCAAGAGUCUAGCAUGCCUUUGAACCAAAAAGGUGGAUUUAAUGACAACAUGCCAGAGGCAUAUGAAGGUCUGGACUGUAGAGAACUCCAGUCAUCUCCACCCUUUAAGAGGAAUCGAUUCCACCGAGUCAAACCAAAACCAAACCUUUCACAGAUAUCAAAAAGUGCACGGUCUAAACCUCAAGCCACAAAGGAAACUAGUGAUUCUUCAAAGCUGGAAUCAACUUCGGCGCCAACAAGUAUGGUAAAACCACAGCCAACGUGUACAUUCUCUCCUGAGGAAACAAGUCAAUGUGCCAGUUCUGCUUCAUCUGUGUUAACAACCAUGAACCUCAGCUCUAAUCUGGUACCUACAGAAGAACUGACUUUUAGUGAGAUAGAGACAAGUACUGGAUGUGAUGAUCAGCUCAGUAGUGAACCAAAAUCCACAGAUGCUGAAGAGAUUGAAUAUGGUGCAAACAAAGAGGCAGCAUCUGAUGAUGCAGUCACAGAACCACUAGCUCAAAAGUCAAGCAUGCCUUUGAUCCAAAAAGGUGGAUUUAAAGAUUCAAUGCCAGAGGUACAUGAAGGUCAGAACUCUAGCGAACUCCAGUCAUCUCCACUUUUAAAAAUAAAUCGAUUUCAACGAGUCAAACCAAAACCAAACCUUACACAGAUAUCAAAAAGAACACGGUCUGAACCUCAAGUCAUAGAAGAGACUAGUCAAUCUUCAAAGCUGGAAUCAACUUGGACGACAACAAGUAAGGUAGAACCACAGCCAACUUGUAUCUUCUCUCCAGAGAAAACAAGUCCAAGUGCCAAUUCUGCUUCAUCAGUGACAACAACCAUGAACUUGAGCUCUAAUCGGGUACCUACAGAGGAACUGGCUUCUCGUGGGAUGAAGAAUACAAGUACAAGACUUGCUAAUCAGCUCAGUAGUGAACCAAAACCCAUGGAUGCUGAAAAGAAAAAGGUUGAAUGUAGUCCAAAUAAAGAGGCAGCAUCUGAUGAUGCAGUCACAGAACAACUAGCUCAAGAGUCAAGCAUGCCUUUGGUACAAGAAUGUAAUAAUGACUCCAUGCCAGAGGUAGUUGAAGGUCAGAACUCUAGCGAACUCCAGUCAUCUCAACCCUUUAGAAAGAAUCGAUUCCACCGAUUCAAACCAAAACCAAAUCUUUCACACAUAUCAAAAAGUGCACGGUCUAAACCUCAAGCCACAAAUGAGACAAGUCAGUCUUCAAAACUGGAAUCAACUUGGACGACAACAAGUAACUUCCUUCCUGAGGAAGCAAGUCCAAGUGCUGAUUCUGCAUCAUUUGUUACAACAGCCAUGAACUUUAGCACUAUUCAGGUAUCUAAAGAGGAACUGUCUAGUGCGGUGAAGACAAGUACUGGACUUUCUAAUCAGCUCAGCAGUGAGCCAAAACCCACAGAUGGCGAAAAUAUUGAAUUUGGUCCUCAUAAAGCGGCAGCAUCUGGUGAUGCAGUCACAGAACGGUUAGCUCAGGAGUCAAAUACGUGUUCAAUCCAAGAAAGUGGAGGUCAUGACACCUUGCCAGAGGUUAAUGAAUGUCAGAGCUCUAGCGAACCCCCGCAAUUUCAGCCCACCAAGAGGAGUCGAUUCCAAAGGGUCAAACCAAAACCAAACCUUUCACAGAUAUCAAAAAGUGCACGGUCUAAACCUCAAAUCACAAAAGAAACAAUUAUGUCUACAAAUCUGGAAUGCACUGGCAAAAUCACAGCUAAAGUAGAAACACAACCAACUGGUACUUUCUCCCCAGAGAAACCAAGCCCAAAAGAUUCAGUUGUGACACCAUCCAUGGAUUCUAGCACCAGUCUGGUACCUAGAGAGGAACUGACUUCUAGUCAGGAGAAGAAGGCAGUUGAACUUGCUUACCAGGAAGAGUCUAGUUUACCAGUGGUGGAUGCGAGAAAAGAAAACACAGGAGUCAAAGAAGCAAUAUUUGGAGCUGCAAAUGAGACCGUGAGGUUUAAUGCAGAAGUAACUCAGAGUUCUUCUAAUAAUGUGGUACCAUCAGAUAUAAUCCCAGAAUGUCAAGUUGGAGUUGGAGCUAAUGCAAACAAGUCUACAAUUCACAAAGUUAGCAACCAUUUGGAAAAAGACUCAAAAUCCGAUUUAAAGUGUGAAUCUUCUCACGACCGAAGCGUUGAAGCUGAAUCACCAUUAACCUCUGAGACGAGUCAAAGUGUCACUUUGCCAUUGGAAAUAUGCCUUGCAUAUCAGCCUACAGAAGACUUGUCAUCGUCCAGAGAUAAAAACGAGGACGCUGACUCAGAGGCACCAAAACACACUACAGGAACAGAUCAAAGACAGCAAUGCCUCCCCAAAGUCAAACCCGCUUUGAGGUUCCCCGCUAGAGCGAUACGCUCAACAUCGCAGUCAAAAGAUGGUGGUGAAUCCUUUAAUAUAACCUCAGAUUGUCAAGUUGUAGAAAAAAAGAGUGCAAGCCCAUGUUUAGAAAUUGAUGAGAAAGUUGUCGGGGAAACUGAAGAAAAGAGCAAAGAAGAAGGCUACAAUGCUCCUUGUCAGGACAAAAAGGAGGAUAGGACCUACUUGAAAUCUGAUGACCAAAAUAUUGCUGCUGCCCCCUCAAACACACAGCUGCUUCGUCAAGAUACUGUCCCGGAACAUUCUAAAACUGUACAAACCAACCAAAUGAUGACAGAGACACAGCCCCUUCAAAGCGCUAACGAUCCGCUGUUGCCAAAAACCGCAACAACUAGAAGAAGCAGACUUGUUAAACCCAAACCCAACCUUGGAAAAAGUGGUCGGCAGGCCCGACUAGUGGCAGCCAAAGCAGAUUCAGAUGCUGUCAGAGCGCCUGGUUCUCAAGAGAUCUUGCCUGAGCCCGUGCAGCCAGUAGAGGGUGCUAUUGGGCUAUCGGCAAUGGAGUGUACCACCCAGGAUGAAUCCUCGUCAAGCACUGGACAGGAGCAGACUUUUGCAAGUCUCUCAAUACUUCAAGACGUAAUGUCAGUACCCUCGGAUCCCGACGAACCGUUUUUCAUCCUAUCCCUGACUGAGAUCCCAGUUGACACCAUCGAGGAGGUGUUGAACCCCACCGCCCAGCUGCCUCCUUUCAUCUGUGACCCAAAUCAGUCAAUGCAGCAAAGUCUUGCUGUGGAGAAUGUGAUAGCAGGGCCAGAUGGUUCCACGCCUGAUGUCCUCGUGUCCACAGAAGAGACGGCAACCACCAUGACUCCAGCCAUUGGGGAUCCCGUCGCCCCACCAGAGCGCCACCAAGGGUGUGUUUCAGCCGGAUCAUCGAGCACAGCAAGUUCUCCCAAAAGCGGACUAGAGCCACAGACCCCAGACUCAACUUUGACUUGAUGAGUUGCGAGCUUGAGGAGGCUAGAGCCUAUCCCAGCUGCACUUGGACGGAAGAAAGCUUGCUGAUACACGCCACGUCCACCAGGUGGUGCCAAACAACACACAAAGACCACAAUGGAAGAACAUCAGACAUCAGAGGAUGACAGUUUUACCUUGUUAAUGUUUUUAAAUGUCAUCAUCACUUUUGUUUGAUAAUCAUUGGUAUGAUUAGAUUUUUCUUCUGACCUUUGGAAAUGUUUAGAUCCUCCCCAAGUAUGUAAAGUACACGUUUUAUUUAUGUAUUUAUUGUGGCCCAUUCGUAGUGAUGUAAAAUAUACUUAUGUGUCCUGAUUGAAGAAUCUAUCAUUAGAGAUCAAAUAGAAGCGGGGAAGAGCAAGCAUAACAUGUAAAGUGAAUUUGACUCUGAACCGCAGUGUAAUUAAAAACAAGUUUUAAAAUGUGUCAUUUUACUUCAAUCAAUAACGGAGCAGCGUCUCCUCAUCCGGAAACAACAACGAGGCCGUGAAAAAACGUCCGAGCGGAACUCUCUAAUAACUAAAGUUCCUUGGGUGAAUAAUGUCAACUCACUACACCGGUAUGUUUUAGUGCUUUCAUGGCGAGUUUACUGACAGAUAUAAGAACUUUACACUACUUUAUAUUAGAAAUGGCAACAGCGGAGGAUGAAUGUCACAUAACAAGAAGAUAGAGAAAAAGAAGAAGCUGAUCGACUACGGUGUCGGCACGGACUACAAUGGCGGACGCGCGCACAUUUUCAGGACUUAUGUAGAUCCGUAAUACAGAUCAGCAGGUACCAGAAGGUAAGAAAAGUUGCUUUUGCAUAAUAUUGUGAAACAAAACACCAGAUAAUAUGUCUGCUAAUGGCUGCCAUUUUGCGGUCCUUAUACACACACCAUAAUAAUACUUACAGUAUGCCGUAAUGGGCCGACAAUCCAUCAAGCGGCGCAGCUUCAAAGUCCUAUUAAAAACAUUUUGACAGAUUUUUGAGUGCCAUGUGUAAUGUUCUUUAUUUUUAAUGGAACAUGUAAAGUUUUGGUGUUGUUUACUGGCGUCAUAUUGCAGUCUAGAUGUAUCUCUUAUAUGUGAGUGCCAUCUACUGGUCACACGUAUCAUUACACCAUGUACCAAAUAAAAUUGCUUUGAGGUCGGUAAGCACAACCAGAAUUAUUCCAUACAUUAAGCGCACCGGUUUAUAAGGCGCACUGCGCCUUAUAGUCCAGGGGAAGAGCAAACA